rnacentral:rRNA from 1 species
UACAGAGGGGGCAAGCGUUAUUCGGAAUUAUUGGGCGUAAAGGGCGCGUAGGCGGCCAUGCGUGUCUUCCGUGAAAUCCCUCGGCUUAACUGAGGACGUGCGGAAGAAACUGCAAGGCUCGAGUCCGGGAGAGGGGGGUGGAAUUCCCAGUGUAGCGGUGAAAUGCGUAGAUAUUGGGAGGAACACCGGUGGCGAAGGCGGCCCCCUGGACCGGUACUGACGCUGAGGCGCGAAAGCGUGGGUAGCAAACGGG